rnacentral:lncRNA from 1 species
CUACAACUUAAUUCAAUCAUAUAGCAAAGAAGGGAAAAAAAAUCAAUAUAAUUUCUGUAAAUCAUACUAAAGAUCACAUCAUCAAAGAGUCCUCAAGAUCUCUUGUCAAGAUUGACCUCGUGACAUAGGCUGCGCCAUAAUCCACUCUAGUUCUAAUCGUGGCGAUUUCGCGAAGAAGACUGUACUUGACACCCAGCUCGACAAAUUAAUUAUGCAUUCUAUCAAGAGGAGCAAGAAAGCAAGCGAACGAGCGGAGAAUGGCGAAUUGGAGGAAGAGGGAAAAGGAAGACACGUGCAAAAAGAAGGAAAAUAAAAGGAAGCUAUCUAAAGGAUCCAAAGUUUUCACCACUUCCUUUGGUUGAAAAUCGUGUUAUUCGAGGAAGUUAAACGAGGGUGAAUAACAUUUUAAUUGCCUCGAUCAAAUUAGACGUUUGUUCUCGUCGCGAGUUGAACAAUAAAAGUGGUGUGUGUUCGAGUUUAUGGUGUGCUGCUGUUUAAAUUUUCUGUGGAGAAUGCAUGUUAAUGGAACUAUUUUGAUUUGGUUGGCUUCAAUUGGUUAAUUUGGAUAGAAUAGAGGAAUUUUAUGAGGAUGUAUAAGUUAUUAGGUGUUGGAGAAUUUAUGUGUUAUGAAAGCCGCAUUAAUUAAGAAACAGCAAGGGGUUCCUUACGUGACGCGCAAAGAUGAAACAACCCGCUGUUUUCAAUCAAAAACAAAUCAUCCCGAGAAGGCGUAAUUAAAUUUGAAAAGAACUAAGGGCGCAGAGCCACUUAUAUGCGGCCAUGGUUGAAUUUGAAUGCGAUGCACGAGUCUUGAAACGUGACUUGUUUGCGGGGAAAGUAUUCCAUGGCGCCGGAAGUUAAUUACAGCGUUAAGGGACAUUCUUUGUAAAUCGGAUCAAAGCUCGAAUUCGGUAAUCCAAAAGUUGCGGACCAAAAGUUUUCAUCCCUUUGCCUUUGUUUUAAUCUUAAAACUUUUUGUUGAAGACUGCUUCGACGAUGGAAUAGAAAUAAAUCGUUUCCAGUCGGAUUUUCAAAGAAUUUUGAAAGU